ACAAACAAAAAGCAGGAGGUAUCUAAAAAUAUCUUUUCAGAUAUUAUAAGAUAUCUGCGACCAGGAGAGACACUUUUCCUAUAUGCAUAGAAUGGCGAUCGAUUUCGGCAGCAUCCACUACGAGAAUAAAUUGUCGGCAGCAGCAGCAAGCUUGCCUUUUUGCACUCAAGCCGCCAAGCCGGACGCACAGCAUCAGAUGAGAAGUCCCAAUUAGAAAAUGCCUUUUUAAAAAAAGAAAAAGAAAAAGAGAAAAGGUAUAUAACCUUUCAACUCAAAGUUCUGUCAACAUCAAGCGUGUUCACCUCUCCGUUGAUAUGAUGUGCCAUCCAUAUAUAAUGCACUAAAUUAAAGUAUAUGCGCAAAAUAUCCUAUGGUGUGUGUUAUCCAUUGCAUUUUUUUUUCCCGAGUCCAAAAUGGUUGAUGUUAACGUUGUUUUAAAAGAACUAGUGGGGAGGGUAGCACUUUUGCUAGUGGGAUGGUGGUGCCGGCCCUCUUGCUGCCUUUGAAUCGUAUUCUAGCAGCAGCGUGUUUUUCCGCCGUCGCUGGCCGGUUUUGCCCGCCGGCCGGAGCGCUUUCAUCUUUUCGAUCGAGCAGAAGAAUACUCCGCCACGACUCAUGCGCGCUGCGCACUCACAUGAAGAUAAGUACAACUAUAAUGUCCUACUCCACGUAUAGUUAUUGCGUGCACACAGCAUAGAUUUUGCGCUCAUGCAUGCAUGCCAGCUUGUGCUCUAGCUAGUUGUUGGAUACGAUAGAGAUUCCGUCGUCGGCGUGUAAAUUAAAAGACCUUGGUGUCAAUCAAAAGUAUAUUCGUGUAAUUAAUUAAUUAAUUAAGCCAUU
rnacentral:lncRNA from 7 species